GUUAUACCUGGGAGAGAGCAGGCUGGACAGGUAACAGGUUGGCUAGAGUAGAGUUAUACCUGGGAGAGAGCAGCCUGGACAGGUAACAGGUUGGCUAGAGUAGAGUUAUACCUGGGAGAGAGCAGGCUGGACAGGUAACAGAUUAGCUAGAGUAGAGUUAUACCUGGGAGAGAGCAGCCUGGACAGGUAACAGGUUGGCUAGAGUAGAGUUAUACCUGGAAGAGAGCAGCCUGGACAGGUAACAGGUUGGCUAGAGUAGAGUUAUAUCUGGGAGAGAGCAGGCUGGGCAGGUAACAGGUUGGCUAGAGUAGAGUUAUACCUGGGAGAGAGCAGGCAGGGCAG
ensembl:lncRNA